rnacentral:tRNA from 1 species
GAGCCCGUAGCUCAGUUGGUAGAGCAAUUGACUUUUAAUCAAUGGGUCCCGGGUUCGAGCCCCGGCGGGCUUACCA